rnacentral:tRNA from 1 species
UCCCUGGUAGCUCAGUUGGUAAAGAAUCUGCCUGCAGUGCAGGAGAUCCAGGUUCAGUCCCUGGGUGGGGAA